GGUGCUUCUUCUUCGGAAGAAGUAACCCGGCGGACGGCUCAGUAACACGUGGAUAACUUGCCCUUGGGUCCGGGAUAACCCCUGAGAAAUUGGGGACAAUACCGGAUAGGGCAUCGAUAGCUGGAAUGCGCGAUGUCCAAAAGCUGAGGCGCCCAAGGAUAGGUCUGCGGCCGAUUAGGUUGUUGUUGAUGUAAUGGAUCAACAAGCCUGCAAUCGGUACGGGUUGUGAGAGCAAGAGCCCGGAGAUGGGUUCUGAGAAAAGAACCCAGGUCCUACGGGACGCAUCAGGCGCGAAAACUUUACAAUGUGCGAAAGCACGAUAAGGGAACUCUGAGUGCCUCCUAUGGAGGCUGUUCAGGUGUCUAAAAAGCACUUGAAGUAAGGGCUGGGUAAGACCGGUGCCAGCCGCCGCGGUAACACCGGCAGCCCAAGUGGUAGCCACGAUUAUUGGGUCUAAAGCGUCCGUAGCCGGCCAGGUAAGUUCUUUGGGAAAUUUAACCGCUCAACGGUUAAGCUUUCAGGGGAAUACUGCUUGGCUUGGGACCGGGAGAAGUCAGAGGUACUUCAAGGGUAGGGGUGAAAUCCGUUAAUCCUUGAGGGACCACCAGUAGC
rnacentral:rRNA from 1 species